CCUACGGGAGGCAGCAGUCGAGAAUCUUCGGCAAUGGGCGCAAGCCUGACCGAGCGACGCCGCGUGGAGGACGAAGGCCCUCGGGUUGUAAACUCCUGUCGAGGGGGACCAAGGGGGCGUGAAGAACGCCCCUCGAGAGAUCCCUGGAGGAAGCACGGGCUAAGUUCGUGCCAGCAGCCGCGGUAAGACGAACCGUGCGAACGUUAUUCGGAAUCAUUGGGCUUAAAGAGCGCGUAGGCGGGUCGGCGCGUCGGAACUGAAAUCCCCCGGCUUAACCGGGGAACGGGCUCCGAUACGGCUGGCCUCGAGGUGAGAAGGGGGACCUGGAACGUCUGGUGGAGCGGUGAAAUGCGUUGAGAUCGGACGGAACGCCAAUGGCGAAAGCAAGGUCCUGGGCUCAUAUCUGACGCUGAGGCGCGAAAGCCAGGGGAGCGAACGGGAUUAGAUACCCCGGUAGUCCUGGCCGUAAACGAUGGGCACUUGGCGGCGGGCUCGCCGAUGGGCACGCCGCCGCAGCGAAAGCGCAAGUGCCCCGCCUGGGGAGUAUGUCGCAAGGCUAAAACUCAAAAGAAUUGACGGGGGCCCGCACAAGCAGCGGAGCAUGUUCUUUAUUUCGAUGCAACGCGAAGAACCUUACCUGGACUUGACAUGAUGCUGCAAGCGCACGGAAACGUGUGACCUUCGAGGGUGCACCACGGAUGCUGCAUGGCUGUCGUCAGCUCGUGUCGUGAGAUGUUGGGUUAAGUCCCGCAAUGAGCGCAUCCCCUGUGGCGUGUUGCCGUCAUCUAUUUGGAGACUCACGCCGACUGCCGGAGAAAACCGGAAGAACGUGGGGAUGACGUGAGUCUCCUGGCUCUUACGUCCCGGCUACAAACGUGCUACCAUGGGUGAUACAACGGGUGCAGACAGCCAAGCUGGACGAAUCUCUCAUGUCAUCUACUUCGGAUCCAGCUGCGAUCCACUGCCGAAGGAGAGUUGAUAUAUCGCGGAUUGAUGCCUC
rnacentral:rRNA from 1 species